AUGGGCAGAAUUGGCUUAGAUAAAGUGGAGAGGGUUUCUGACUUGAUCGACAACUACACAGGAAAUUGGAAUGUGGAUGUUGUCCGUCAAAAUUUUCUGCACCCGGAUGCAGAGGCAAUACUGAAUAUCCCUAUGAACCCUGCUGGUGGCGAGGACACAUUAGCUUGGGCUUUGGAAAAGUCGGGCAUCUACUCUGUAAAAUCUGCGUAUCGAUCUCAGGUGACUCAAAACGAGAUCAGUUCUCUAGAGGAAGGGACGAUUACGGAAUCUUCAUCGGCAAAUAAACAGUUGUGGACGGCCUUGUGGAAACUAGAUGUGGUUCCCAAAGUUCAAGUUUUUGGUGGAGGGUGCUCCGACGCAUUCUACCUGACUCAAGUACCUUGCAACACAGACAUAUUAAACAUAAUUCACUAUGUGGGGUUUGCAAGGCUAUGA
rnacentral:rRNA from 1 species